AGGUAUUUCCGCUCUUUCUUCAUUAACAAUCCAUCGAGUCCAGAACCUAUUCUUCCCUGCUUCUCAAUCCAAUAAAUCACUCAAUCCAAGUGGAAAGCCCAUCAGCUAAUUAGUGAAAAAUCCAUAAUUAUAGUUUGGAAAACAAAUAUACAAAUGAAGAUCAGAUCGGAUCGGGUCAGAUCUGCGUCAUAGAUCUCCAAGCACACAUCGUUCCGAGAGACCAUGGCUGGCAUUCGGCAAUUGUUAUUAAUUGAAAACAUUAUGGAAUCCGCUGUUUACUCAAAUACCAAACACAAAUCAACUAAUUUCCCCGCACGAAAUUUCCAUCUCUAAUUCUUUUUGUAUUUAUUUUGUUUUGUUUCUGUUCAGAAAUUAAAUUGGAGGGAUAUGGGAAUGAGUCCCGCGUGCUUGCUGUCACAAUUCUAUGAUUCUGACACUUUUCUGACAGCCCAAAAGAAAACCUCAAGAGCCGAACCUGAAGAAUACUCGAAUGCCACAAGACAACACUCCUCCUCCAAGUAUCCGGAGCGGACAAGCGGCCAAGCGGCCAAGUGCUGAAUGCAAUUUAAUAAUCAUCUCCCAUGGCUGUGGAAUCUCUGAUGAAUAUCUAGAUCGAGAGGCAUAGAAAUUUUCUGCCCGGCACAAGCGAAAUCUUCACAAGAGAAUUCCCCAGAAUUCGGAUCAGAGUAGUUCUCUGGCCUUCCUACUGGAAACGUGGGUGUUGCGCAUCCCAAAGGACACGAUUCUUUUUUAGGAUCGAUAGGAAAUCAAUCGAUUAAUCGACACUGCCGAAACGGCUUCUUUCUUCCUACUGGGAUUAUUUUCUUAUAUGUAUUUUCUCCCCUCUCUCUCUCCUCUUUGCACUUUAGAUCUGCCGUUGAUCUUCCAUGGGGCUGCCGUUAUUCCAGCUCUAGUGCUCCACUCUACUCCACCGCCAAAGUAACGGGCCAGAGCACAAGUGGAUCGGAAUCGGAAUCGGACUCUGAAUCGAGAGCCAGAGAGGCCAGAGAUUUCUAUCUAUCGAGGAUGACCCAUAUUUCGGCGAGUGUUUUCUCUGCUUUUAUCACAAUUUGCAAUUGCUGGCGAUGCUCCACGGACGAGGCGACGUUUCACGGCCCACUCGAAACCAAUACAGAUACAGAUUCAAACAUAUUUAGAUACAGAUACGAAUACGGGAUUUUGUUUUGGUUUAUUUCGUGCGGCUUUUGUGUUCUAUUCUGCCAAGAAAUUACUUUUUUGACAAA